AACGAACGCUGGCGGCAGGCUUAACACAUGCAAGUCGAGCGCCUCGCAAGAGGAGCGGCAGCCGGGUGAGUAACGCGUGGGAACGUACCCUUAUCUUCGGAAUAGCUCUGGGAAACUGGAAGUAAUACCGAAUGUGCCCUUAGGGGGAAAGAUUUAUCGGAUAAGGAUCGGCCCGCGUUGGAUUAGCUAGUUGGUGGGGUAAAGGCCUACCAAGGCGACGAUCCAUAGCUGGUCUGAGAGGAUGAUCAGCCACAUUGGGACUGAGACACGGCCCAAACUCCUACGGGAGGCAGCAGUGGGGAAUAUUGGACAAUGGGCGCAAGCCUGAUCCAGCCAUGCCGCGUGAGUGAUGAAGGCCUUAGGGUUGUAAAGCUCUUUCACCGGAGAAGAUAAUGACGGUAUCCGGAGAAGAAGCCCCGGCUAACUUCGUG
rnacentral:rRNA from 1 species